UACAGUUUAUUACACAAUUAUUUAGCACAACUCACAUUUUUACAUAAAAUAUUUACCAAACUAUGAUAAGUACACGUUAUAUCCAAUUACUUAACAAACUAUAAGGGGUGGGGGUAGUCACUAGUGAUAGAAUUCUAUCACUCACAAGCAUCCAAUCAACUCCUACCAUGUCAUCAGCCACUAUUCUAUCACUCACAUCCUUUUUAGUGGCAAUGAUCAUCACUCACAACACCUAACAAUAAACCCCCACACCCCCUCACAUCCAUCAUUUUUCACGCGUUAUAAAAGUAACGGAAAACCAUCACGUUGAACCUAUCACUCGUGAAUGUUUUGGUUGCGGUGGACAUUUUGAAACUUCCACGCAUUAUGAAGUUUUAUCACGGAAGUUUAACGAUGCGCCCCCAGUGGCCUAAGUACACGUUAUAUCCAAUAAAAGUAAUUGGUUGUUGUGGAUACCGGUAAAAUGAUAUGAUUUUGGGUAAAUUCACCUCCAUUCUAAUAAGCUGCAUAUGACCACGUGAUAAAAGAUGUUAUAUAAUAAGUUAAUAAUAACGCAUUACUUUCUUUAUUCAAAUCUAUCUUCCUCCCUACUUUCCUUAUUUUCUUUUGAAUUGUCUCUUUUUAACAUACUAUAUGCUUUGAACUACUUUUCCAUCCAAAAUCCAAAUAAUCAUCGGAAAAGAAUGAACGAGGCUGCUAGUUCCGUGGUGGUCGGAAAAGUAGUGGACUUGGUGUGUGGUGUGGCUAAAAAGGAGAUUAGCUACGUGUGUAAUUGCUCUGAAAAUGUUGAAAAAUAUAAAAAUGAAGCUGAUAAGCUGUCGAGUAUGAAGGGAAGGGUUCAGCAACAAAUAGAUUUGGCUAAAUCUAAAGGGGAAGUUCUCCUAGAAGGUGUGGAAGAGUGGAUGAAGAAAGCAGAUGGUUAUACAUCCAAGGCCACACAGUUUACUAACGGAGAGGACCAGGAGAAAUGCUUCCAUGUGUGUACCCUCCGUCGUUGUAGUAAGACGGCGAUAAAAAAAACGUUUUAUCUUCAGCAGCACCAAGAAGCCGGUAAGAGUUUUGAAACUUGUGUCUCCCUUCCUGCUCAAGCCCCAGGAUUCACAGAUCUUUAUCAACGUAAAAAUCUUGAAGAUAUCCAUACCCAAAAGUCGACUUUGAAGAAAAUCAUUCGAGCUAUAGAAGAUGACACAAUUCAAAUAGUUGGAAUCAAUGGCUUAGGAGGUGUAGGUAAAACUACACUAGCUAGUGAAGUUGCUAAAGAAAAAAAAAAUGAAUUUGCGGCUGUUGUGUUUAUAACCGUCACACAAACUGUUGAUGCUAAAAUAAUUCAAGAAAAGGUUCGCGUUGCGGCAAGUAGAAUAAUGAACGGAGAGAAGGUUCUAAUCGUUCUAGAUGACGUUUGGGAAGAACUGAAGCUUGAGGAAUUGGGCAUUCCAUGUGGGAGUGAGUACAUGAAUUGCAAGAUUUUGCUUACAUCUAGAAGCAGAGACGUGUGUGCGGCAAUGAAUGCCCAAAAGAAUAUUUCGGUGAACCCUUUGCAAGAGAAAGAAGCGUGGACCCUUUUUGAACGUGUGGUUGGUAAAAGUGAAUGGGACGUUACAUUGAAGGAAGUUGCAUUAAAGAUUGUCAAGGAAUGUGGCGGAUUGCCACUUUUUAUUCAAGCUCUUGGAAAAGCCCUAAAAGACAAAGAAAUUAGAAUGUGGGAGGUAGCGCUUCGUCGACUACAAGCUCCCGUAGAUGGGGAUGUCACCUAUAAAAAGGAAGGUAUACUGCAAUUGAAGCUAAGCUAUGACCAUCUAGAAGAUGAAGUAGCUAAGUCGUGUUUCUUAUUGUGUAGUAUGUUCCCAGAAGAUGGAAACAUUGGCCUUAAAACGUUGACACAUUAUGGGCUCGCUCUUGGGAUAUUUAAUAAUCCCGAUAGCAUUCACGAUACAAAAGAUAUAGUCCAACUGGCUGUUGAGUCUCUUAAAUCAUCUUUCUUGUUAUCCCCUGUGGAUAUAAACAUUUAUUCACUGGUUGGAUUUCGUUUACAACAACAAGAAGAAGAAUUAUUUAAAAUGCACGACCUUGUUCGUGAUAUGGCAUUGUUCAUUACUUUUAAAGGCGAUGACAAGUUUUUGGUGAAGUCCGGAAAAGGUUUGAGAGAAUGGCAGCCAAGAAGCGACGUUAUAAAAAGCUACAAGAAGAUCUCGCUCAUGGAAAAUAAAAUAUGUAAGCUUCCUAAUUAUGAACCUGAUUUGCCGCAUCUUGAUACUUUCCUUAUACAAAUGAAUGAACUUUCAAUUGUUCCGGAUGAAUUCUUUCGGGGCAUGAAAGAGCUGAAAGUUUUAGAUAUGCGGGGUAACAACAUUUCAUCUCUCCCACAAUCACUAACGCAGCUCACAAUGCUACGCCUGCUAGAUCUAAGUGAUAACAUGUCUCUCAGUGAAAUUUCAUUACUUGGGGGGUUGUCAUGUCUUGAGAUUCUAAAGCUUAGACGUACUGGAAUUAUAAAUAUCCCUGAAGAGAUCGGACGAUUGACCAAUUUAAGGCUACUGGAUAUUUACUCUUGUGGUGAUCUAUCUUACGUUACACCUGGUGUGCUAUCAAAGCUCACUAGGUUGGAAGAGUUGUAUGUUCAGUUAAUGACGGGGGAUUGUAAUUUUCUUACGGAACUAAGCGAAUUGACGUUGCUGAAAAUUCUGCAUUUAAGAGUUUGGGAAUUGCAUUAUAUUCCCAAAAUUGAAACCUUGAUAGAAUUUGACAUUGGGCCACCUGGAUGCGCAUUGCGUUUAUAUAAACGCUGCCUAGAAUUUUCAGGAUAUAAAUGCUCAUGGACGGUGCCAAUUAGGAAACUGAUUCAGCUAUCUGAAUUGUUAACAUUGUCAUAUAUAGAAGAUUUGGAUAACAUCUUACCAGACCUAUAUCAAGAAGGUUUCGAUGAAUUAAGGUAUAUUUCUUUGUCGUACUGUGAGAAUGUUAGAAGCUUGGUGAAGACAUGUGACUUAGAUGGAAUUCAGACUUCAAAUGAAAGUGGUCCGAUGAAAACAAAGGGAAAGUUUUUUUCCUAUUUGGAAGGAAUCAAAUUGCACCGCUUGAAUAGCUUGGAGCUUCUGUGGGAUAACCCACAUCAAUAUAUAAGCUUUUGUAAUCUAAGGAGUAUCAAGAUAACAGAUUGCCCCUCUUUAUUAAAGCUAUUCCCUAUAAGCGUAGCGCAAGGGCUUGUCAAUCUCAAACUCAUAGAGAUUAUGGAUUGUGAAAGUUUGGUGAAUGUUAUUUCGGAUGGAGAUGAGCAAACAACUGGAAGUGAAAUUGAAUUGGUAAAACAGGAUACAAAUAUCGUGUUCUCCUUUGAUCAUAUUAAGCUUUAUUAUCUCCCCAAACUUGAGAACUUCUACUCUGGCCCUUCUAUCGUCAAAUAUCCUUCUUUGAAGUCUCUUUUAGUGAGCAAUUGUCCUAGCAUGACGAGAGAGAGUGUAGCAUUAAUGAUUAUAUUGCAGGAAAACAUGAGAAGAAAGGGAAACUUCACGAUGACGGAGGGAUGAACAAGGCUGUUGUAUAUGCUUUCUAGUAUGUUUAUCGUGUAUUGAAUAAUGAGUUGGUGCAAGGAGAUUGCAAUAUUUGCUCCAACCAAGUUCGUUUACAGGUCAUGGGUGGUCACGUAUCGGGUCAUGGGUACGGAUCAAGACGUUGAAGUUUGCAUGAAAUAAACUACGAGUCUCAUGGGUUUACGUGGAUGUUACAUGGCUAGAAGUAUUUAUACUUUUAUAUGUUAUUUCUUAUUUAAUAGUUUAUUAUUUAGAAUAAGUAUUAUAGUUUGACCAAAUAAAGUGGAGAUAGAAUAUGCCAAUAUGGGUCAGUAUGUUUUACCGAAUAAUGUUGUUUACUGGUAGUUUUUAGGUGGUUUUGUUUAUGUUGUUUACCGGUAGUUUUUAGGUGGUUUUGUUUAUUUUCGUUGCUCUUGUAGGCUAUUUAAAGCCAUUUAGGUUGAGGAAUAAAAACAGCCUUUUGCUUUUAUAG